rnacentral:rRNA from 1 species
GAUGAACGCUGGCGGCGUGCCUAAUACAUGCAAGUCGAGCGAAUGGAUUAAGAGCUUGCUCUUAUGAAGUUAGCGGCGGACGGGUGAGUAACACGUGGGUAACCUGCCCAUAAGACUGGGAUAACUCCGGGAAACCGGGGCUAAUACCGGAUAACAUUUUGAACCGCAUGGUUCGAAAUUGAAAGGCGGCUUCGGCUGUCACUUAUGGAUGGACCCGCGUCGCAUUAGCUAGUUGGUGAGGUAACGGCUCACCAAGGCAACGAUGCGUAGCCGACCUGAGAGGGUGAUCGGCCACACUGGGAAUGAGACACGGCCCAGACUCCUACGGGAGGUAGCAGUAGGGAAUCUUCCGCAAUGGACGAAAGUCUGAUGGAGCAACGCCGCGUGAGUGAUGAAGGCUUUCGGGUCGUAAAACUCUGUUGUUAGGGAAGAACAAGUGCUAGUUGAAUAAGCUGGCACCUUGACGGUACCUAACCAGAAAGCCACGGCUAACUACGUGCCAGCCGCCGCUGUAA